ACACGCAUGACACACUGCAUAUCAAUAAGCGGAGGAAAAGAAACUAACAAGGAUUCCCCUAGUAACGGCGAGUGAAGCGGGAAGAGCUCAAAUUUGAAAUCUUAAAGGGUUCUACCUUGACGAAUUGUAGUUUAUAGAAGUGUUUUCUGUUGGAGUUUCGGUAAAAGUUCUUUGGAAUAGGACAUCAUAGGGGGUGAGAAUCCCGUAUUUGACCAUUACUUUCCAGCUGUGUGAUACACUUUCAAAGAGUCGGAUUGUUUGGGAAUGCAGUCCAAAAUGGGUGGUAAAUUUCAUCUAAAGCUAAAUAUUGGCGAGAGACCGAUAGCGAACAAGUACCGUGAGGGAAAGAUGAAAAGAACUUUGAAAAGAGAGUUAAACAGUACGUGAAAUUGUCAAAAGGGAAGCGUUUGACACCAGUGUUGUUUUCUCGAAAAUCAAUUAAAAAGAGCCGGAUUUUGUGUUGUUAAGACUUUAUCAGCUUACUGCACUUUUUUCUUGUUCUUUUUAAUGCACUUUUCGUUUAACAAGUCAACAUCAAUUUCUUUUGUUGUAAAAGGGUCAUUGGAAGGUGGCUUUCAUUUCGGUGAAAGUGUUUAUAGCCUUUGACCUCUGCAAUCGGAGAGAUUGAGGUCUGCAGCGUAGAUCCUUCGGGGUUAGAUACAUUUGUGCUAAGUUAUAGUUUUUCAUAGACAACUUGUUGACUAUGAUUAAUCAUGUAGCUUACUCGCUUAUGCUAUUUUACCUACGCUUAGGAUGUUGAGCGCAUGUCUCUCUCU
rnacentral:rRNA from 1 species